rnacentral:rRNA from 1 species
UACAGAGGGUGCGAGCGUUGUUCGGAUUUACUGGGCGUAAAGGGCGCGUAGGCGGUCAGCACAAGUCAGUUGUGAAAUCUCCGGGCUUAACUCGGAAAGGUCAACUGAUACUGUGCGACUAGAGUGCGGAAGGGGCAACUGGAAUUCUCGGUGUAGCGGUGAAAUGCGUAGAUAUCGAGAGGAACACCUGCGGCGAAGGCGGGUUGCUGGGCCGACACUGACGCUGAUGCGCGAAAGCCAGGGGAGCGAACGGG